UUGCCUACGGGGCGCAGCAGUGGGGAAUAUUGCACAAUGGGCGAAAGCCUGAUGCAGCGACGCCGCGUGAAGGAUGAAGUAUUUCGGUAUGUAAACUUCUAUCAGCAGGGAAGAAAAUGACGGUACCUGACUAAGAAGCCCCGGCUAACUACGUGCCAGCAGCCGCGGUAAUACGUAGGGGGCAGGCGUUAUCCGGAUUUACUGGGUGUAAAGGGAGCGUAGACGGCGAUGCAAGCCAGAUGUGAAAUCCCGGGGCUCAACCCCGGGACUGCAUUCGGAACUGUGUGGCGGGAGUGUAGGAGAUG
rnacentral:rRNA from 1 species